UCAUACCUUAAAAAUCCGUAAAUAAUAACCAACAUUAAGAUAAACUGUUUCGUUACAACAAAUUUCUUAUCUGUGAAAAUGUUGUAAUUGUAACAUCAAAAUCGAUUUGGUAAUGACAUUCAAAUUUCGAACAUAUCUGAAAAAAAAAAACAAUUCGAUUCGACCUCUAUUCUAAUAUCAGUCGAGUCUCCUUUUUGUUCGACAAUUUUGACAAAUCUCGCAUGUUAGUUUGUAUCGAACGAUACGGAAAUAGGCCCCCGACUCUAGUUUGUCUCUGAAUUUAUAAAAAAACUACGAAUGUGUGACAUGCGUGAAAAUUUGACGUACAGUUUAUCUUUUAAUUAGUUUUAAGUAUAAAAUGAGUUUGUUUUGUUGUUUUUAAAGUAACUAUGUAUAGCAAAAGUUUCGUUUAAAAUGAGCGAUAAACAUAUUUCGGCGACGUCGCCACAUAUCUGCGAGUUCCGCCAAAAGAGCAACGAUACCCCAAUGUUGGCUAUAAUUUGGUGAUGACGGGACGGCAAUACGGCUCGGGCGCUGACACGGCGGCCACGGCGAACGAGACCAACACGUCGAGGCGCGCGAGCACGUGGGACAGGCAGAACAGGCAUUCGGAGUAGCCAGCUGGAAAAGAUAAUGUUUUACAACCGUUUAAUGGCAACAAAGAUAUUGACUAUAGAAGAGGUGUAAAUUCUAUGAAAAAAUUAUGUCUCUGAGUUUGAAACCUGAAAUAGAUGGCGCUAUACGGCGUUA